rnacentral:tRNA from 1 species
GGGCUGGUAGAUCAACGGAAGAUCGCUACCUUCGCAAGGUAGAGGCUUCGGGUUCAAAUCCCGACCAGUCCA